AUUGAACGCUGGCGGCAGGCUUAACACAUGCAAGUCGAGCGGUAACAGGAGAAGCUUGCUUCUCGCUGACGAGCGGCGGACGGGUGAGUAAUACUUAGGAAUCUACCUAGUAGUGGGGGAUAGCACGGGGAAACUCGUAUUAAUACCGCAUACGACCUACGGGAGAAAGGGGGCAGUUUACUGCUCUCGCUAUUAGAUGAGCCUAAGUCGGAUUAGCUGGAUGGUGGGGUAAAGGCCUACCAUGGCGACGAUCUGUAGCUGGUCUGAGAGGAUGAUCAGCCACACCGGGACUGAGACACGGCCCGGACUCCUACGGGAGGCAGCAGUGGGGAAUAUUGGACAAUGGGGGAAACCCUGAUCCAGCCAUGCCGCGUGUGUGAAGAAGGCCUUUUGGUUGUAAAGCACUUUAAGCAGUGAAGAAGACUCCAUGGUUAAUACCCAUGGACGAUGACAUUAGCUGCAGAAUAAGCACCGGCUAACUCUGUGCCAGCAGCCGCGGUAAUACAGAGGGUGCAAGCGUUAAUCGGAAUUACUGGGCGUAAAGGGAGCGUAGGUGGCUCUAUAAGUCAGAUGUGAAAUCCCCGGGCUUAACCUGGGAACUGCAUCUGAAACUGUAGAGCUAGAGUAUGUGAGAGGAAGGUAGAAUUCCAGGUGUAGCGGUGAAAUGCGUAGAGAUCUGGAGGAAUACCGAUGGCGAAGGCAGCCUUCUGGCAUAAUACUGACACUGAGGCUCGAAAGCGUGGGUAGCAAACAGG
rnacentral:rRNA from 1 species